UAGCCUGCGCAGACCUAAUUUUCAGUGUUUAUUCCAAAACCCACAUUUUCCCCCAUUUCAUUUUUGCCAUUGGGAUGGCUGAACGAGCCAAACGUAUCUCAUUUCCGAGUUUCAAGACUACAAGCUGGCGAGCUCGUAUAGCUUGACAUUGAAAUGAUUGGUUGACGGUAAGUGGGGGCGGUACUUUCUGUAUAAACACAAACUCCCUUCCUUGACUACUUCCUUCCAGCAGUGUGUAGCAGGGAGAUUCCUAGGUGUGAAGAAGGACCUGAGAGAAAGGAAUGUGUAGUAUUGAUGUAAAAAGUUGUGUGUGUAAACUGUAGGGGUAUCAUGAUGCUGGAGAUCAGACGCGUCCGGUGAGAGAAAGACAGGUUGAGGUUACCAGGAUAACAGUAGUGCAGAAGGUGUUGUAUGCUGAGGCAGUGAGGAAAGUAGUAGAGGAAGAUGGCUCCAGGCUGAGGUCAAUAGAGAGUGACAGAAAUAACAUUCUUCAGUAAGAUUAAUUUUUUUGGUGUUCAUGGUCAUGGUUGUCAACUGUACCACAGGAAUAGAAUGUAAAUUACAGUGGAUAGAUGUUGUGGUGGCAGCUGUUGAGAAGUACUUGGGUGUACAAUAUUUUACUGCAGAGUUACAAGGUGUUUUGAAGGAUAAUAUCCCAUCCUUUCAGGCUGCUGGCCUGGUGUAGGAACAGAGGGCCAAAGUAGUGGAAUAUUGAUGAGGUUGUAAUGGGUGUAGGGUUAGUUGGUUUUUCACAAAGUGUAUUGAAUUAAUACUACAGAAUAGUAGACUGAUGCACAGCCAAUACACUAGGUGGGGGCGUGCACCUAUAAUAAUUGUUUGCGGACCGCCAUAACACUAAAGAAGAAGAAGACCACUUCCUUCACAACGGUUCUGGAUCUGGUCUGUAAAGCGGAAGAAUUAUAAAUCAAAACAAUUGGUCACAUACUUGUGUUUAGCAGAUGUUAUUGCGGGUGUAGCGAAAUGCUUGUAAUACACUGACUACUGCGGAGGUUGCGUUGCUGUAAGUACUGCAUGGACACUGCACGUACAGCUCUGCUGUAAUCAGUUUGGUAUUUUAUAGGCUACCGUUACUGGGCAUUAGACAAUUAAAACUAGCUGGACUCUCGAAGAGGACGUAGUUCCAAGUGACGCUCGGGUAGAGUUAGACGAUAACAGACAACAGGAUUCUUGGUGAAUAGGGUGUUGGACGUUUAAUUGACUUUAAUAGAUUAAAUCUUAUCCAGGAUCAUUCUGAAGUAAGAUUAGGCUACAUCAGACAUAUAUUUGUCACAACGUAAAUCGAGUGUUGAUAUUUAAAUUUACGUUUGCUCUGGUCUAGCUUUAUCUGAAUGCUGUGACAAGGAAGUAACUGUAGUGUAGGCUAGCUACAGAUUUACUGUCACUUUUUUAUUUGAAGAAACGCUGAAGAAACAACGGCUUCAACGAUGGAUCGGGUAAGUUUGGUUUACUUUUAUUAACAAUAUGCCUACUGUGGUGUAUAACAUGUCUAGGCCUAGUUAUCAUCUUUGAUCUUCCAUAUCCAUUCGUUCCAUUUGAACAGCUGGACAAAAUAAACAAUGAUGGUAAUAAACACUUGGGAUAUUUUGUCCUUCAGCAAAGUAGCCUACUAGCCUAAAGCACACAGAUUGAAACAAGGCAACAAGCAGCUAAAGUCAGAACCAUGGUGAAAUAAUGAGGCCAAGCCUACACCUUGCAGAAGCAGUGUGUGGGUAAAAUCACCAGUGAAGCCAAGCCAGAAAAAUAGCCGUAUUACAUGUUGUGGUAAUUGCGUUGUUAUAACCUGUUAGUUCAUAUACCUUGACACAGCCGAGACAAGAAAACAGUGGCAGAAUACAUUCAACCACACCUUUUUGUUAAAUCAUACAACUAGAGAGCAACAUCUGUCCUGUUAAGUUCACCAAAAAUGUUGCAUGUAACAGUUACAUGACCUUCAGAACGGUCAAGCAAGUGAAUGUUUCUGAAUACUAAACAAUUAUUGAUUUAGAGUUACCGCAAGUCGAAAAGGAAACAGGUGCUGCCUCCACUAUUCAAGAACCAUUUCAACUUCAACAUCAUCUAAUUUAGUCUUCUACAGUGACAACUAAAAGAUAACAAAAACCACAUUCUGAAAUUGCAUUUUUGUCCCUCCUAGUUUUAUCAUUGGAAUGUGAUACUAAAUGUGUUAAUGGUGUGCUUUAGGACCAUGCGGAUGCCUCCAAGAGUUCGAGUAGGCUGUUUGUAGAGUGUAUCUGACUGGAUAAUUUUUGUAAAUUAUUAUGACCCCCCCACACUUCUAAAAGCAAAGUUGCGCCCCUGCCAAGAGGCGUCUAUCCAUGGUACUCAUUUCUGUGUGUGCGUGCAAGUAGAAGAAAAAAAAACAUGUUGUGUGUCCCAACUUAUGUUCCCUGAACGGUCUAGGACUCUGUCAUACAGUACAUGCUUUUUGUUGUUUUUUUGUCCAAGGCUACCUGGCUAAGAUGCUUGCACACUAGCCUUGUAACUUCUAUUCAUGGGCAAUGAUGUGCCAGGCCAGCUAGUUAAUAUCCCCUUUUCAAAUUAUGACUAUUUUGUAAGUAAUUGUGAGAUGCUUAUCUCACUACACACUGGCAAAAACAAUUAUAUUUGGACAAUUAUUAUUUUCUAUUUUAUUGUUUUAGAUUCCCUUAUAUUAUAGUCGUGAGUGUUCAGUAUUUUCUGUGCCUACUUUGCUAAAAUUAUUGCGUUGGAUUAAAAUGGCACUAUUCCUUCCAUAAAGUGAUGAUUGGAAUUAAAAGGUUUUAAUAACUUUUUAGGUGGAACAGGUUUUAUUACAUUUGAUCAUUUAUCACUCUGUUAGGGUUUGACCAACUAUUUGUGUGCAUAUCCUAUAUAAUAUAACAAUCUGUUUGCAUAACCUAUUUAAUAUAACACAGAUGCUAUAAUGAUAAGUUUAUUAACUAUAAGAUCAUUGAAUACUGCUAUAUGUUAGAGGAAGUGGCUCAUGUGAUGGUGGGUCAUGUGGACAGAAUGCUGAUGCUUUAAAACAGGGUUUUGCAAGAGCUUUUCUGUAGAAUAAUAUCAAUAACAGGAUAUGGGUGAAAGGUAUAUGCGGGGGGUGUUAAGGGUUUUAGAGAACUGUGCAUUGUGCAGUCACAAGAUGAGACAUCCGCCAGAGACAACAGCUACGCCAGGAAACAGGAGUGCGUCUAGAGGUUGGGACCAACCUGCACGCCAACGAUAGGCUGGAAUAAGUCUAAACCAUAUUCUAGCCUCUACUAUGACAGGCCCUCAUGGAGAGGGAACUAAGUCUGUCCAGUAUUUAAGGAAGAACUUGUGAUGACAUACCAGUUCUCUGUCUGCCCUGCGUGGUGUUACAAGGAGCCCUUAUAUACGAAGCCACAUAUUUACCAUUCAAGUGUUUGCAUUAAUUAAAGUACAAAGAAAUCAGAAGUUACUAGGUGCUGACUAUUUUGUUCUGAUACCAGAUUCGAAUUGACGCGACCUGACAACUCUGACGUGCACAUUUCUGUCCAUUAAGACCCAAAAUGUGCUACCUUUUUUGUAGCAUUUCUGACAAUGCUAACAUCUUUUCAGUGUAACCGAUGUGAAAUGGCUAGUUAGUUAGCGGUGGUGCGCGCUAAUAGCGUUUCAAUCGGUGACGUCACUCGCUCUGAGACUUGAAGUAGGGUUGCCCCUUGCGUUGCAAGGGCCGCGGCUUUUGUGGCGCGAUGGGUAACGAUGCUUCGUGGGGUGUCAGUUGUUGAUGUGUGCAAGGGUCCCUGGUUCGAGCCCAGGUUGGGGCGAAGAGAGGGACGGAACCUACACUGUUACAUCAGCAUAUCUAUCUAACCUGGGACAGAGCUAUCCCGUCCCCCUCCACUCUGCUGGAGUCCCCUGGUCACAACUCUCCUGGUAGCUCCUUACUGCUGGGUCUGAAGAGGGUGUCUGUGAGGCUGGUCGACUGCAGGAAAACAGCAGGGCAGAGUGGAACUGUGAGAGAAGGACACGAGGGAGAUUUGAUUUCAUCAAGGGACACCCCUAACCGUCGUUCUCUCAGUGGGAGGGGCUUAUCAUCUGGGGAGCCUCAACAACAUCAUGUUGCUGACGAGACAGAGAAGAGUCUCUCCCAAUCAGAACAUCCCAAGAAACACCAGCAGAGACGUACAGGGAAGAAACCUCACCACUGCUGCUCUGAGUGUGGGAAGAGUUUCACAAGCCAGAGUGGCUUCAUUAUUCACUGUGAUCAGUGUGGGAAGAGUUUUGCUGCAUCAAACACCUUCAAAUCUAAUGUAAGAAUUCAUACAGGGGAGAAGCCUUACCCCUGCCUUGAUUGUGGGAAAAGCUUUGUUAGUGCAGGAGCCUUAACCAUACACCAGCGCAUACACACAGGAGAGAAGCUUUAUAGCUGUGAUCAGUGUGGGAAGAGCUUUCCUCGAGCGUCCUCCCUGACUAGACAGCAGGUAACACACACUGGAGUGAAGCCUUAUAGCUGUGAUCAGUGUGGGAAGAACUUUGCUGUAUCAGAAAAACGAACCAGUCACCAGCGCACACACACAGGAGAGAAGCCUUAUAGCUGUGAUCAGUGUGGGAAGAGCUUUGCUGUAGCUUCCUCCCUAACUAGACACCAGGUAAUACACACUGGAGAGAGACCUCAUCUCUGUCUAUGUGGGAAGAGCUUUGCUCUAGCUUCCACCCUGACUAUACACCAGCGUGUACACACUGGAGAGAAGCCUUAUAGCUGUGAUCAGUGUGGAAAGAGCUUUGCUGUAUCGGAAAAACUAACUAGACACCAGCGAAUACACACAGGAGAGAAGCCUUAUAGCUGUGAUCAGUGUGGGAAGAGCUUUGCUGUAUCAGAAAAACUAACUAUACACCAGCGAAUACACACAGGAGAGAAGCCGUUUAGCUGUGGUCAGUGUGGGAAGAGCUUUUCUCAAUCAGUAAACCGGAAUAUACACCAGCUAACACACACAGAAGAAAAGCCGUACAGCUGUGAUCAGUGUGGAAAGAGCUUUUCUGUAGUUUCCUCCCUGAAAAUACACAAGCGAACACACACUGGAGAGAGAACCUAUGUCUGUCUAUGUGGGAAGAGCUUUGCUCGAGCUUCCACCCUGACUAAACACCAGCGAACACACACUGGAGAAAAAGAAGCCUUAUAUCUGUGAUCAGUGUGGGAAGUGUUUCAGUCAGUUAUGGACCCUUUAUUCACACCAGUGAAUGGGAAGAGCUUUGUGGGAAGAGUGGGAAGAGCUUUGUUCAUUUAGGGCCAAUGAGAAAACACCAGAAAGCACAAACAUGCCGUACUUAAUCUCCCUCCUAUUCGGCACCAGUUUCUGAUCCCCAUGUAAAGGAUCAGUAGAAAACACCUAGUGAACAGUCAUAUCCAUCUCCCAUUCUUAAAAAGUUGACUUAGUCUUAUCACCAUGGUAACCUCUGUAGAGCAUAAUAUGCAGCUCUGAUCUAGGAUCAGGUCUCCCCUGUGUCUAUGUAAUAUCACAUAUUGGGAUCUAAAUGGAUAAAUGUUAUCAUAGAAAAUGUCAUAGUGAACCUGUUUGUGUGGGGGGGUGUUGAUAAUUGUAUAUUCUUUCAUACACUCAUGAUACUAUUAUUAUUGAAUGUCAGUUUGUAGAAUGUUUCAACAAUGGGUGUAUAUUCAUGUAUUCAAGUGAUCAAUAAAUUCAAUCUUAUCUUCUUAACAAGCA